rnacentral:rRNA from 1 species
GACGAACGCUGGCGGCGUGCCUAAUACAUGCAAGUAGAACGCUGAAGGAGGAGCUUGCUCUUCUGGAUGAGUUGCGAACGGGUGAGUAACGCGUAGGUAACCUGCCUGGUAGCGGGGGAUAACUAUUGGAAACGAUAGCUAAUACCGCAUAAGAGUAGAUGUUGCAUAACAUUUGCUUAAAAGGUGCAAUUGCAUCACUACCAGAUGGACCUGCGUUGUAUUAGCUAGUUGGUGGGGUAACGGCUCACCAAGGCGACGAUACAUAGCCGACCUGAGAGGGUGAUCGGCCACACUGGGACUGAGACACGGCCCAGACUCCUACGGGAGGCAGCAGUAGGGAAUCUUCGGCAAUGGACGGAAGUCUGACCGAGCAACGCCGCGUGAGUGAAGAAGGUUUUCGGAUCGUAAAGCUCUGUUGUAAGAGAAGAACGAGUGUGAGAGUGGAAAGUUCACACUGUGACGGUAUCUUACCAGAAAGGGACGGCUAACUACGUG